AGUAACUGCGAGCGAAAGGGGAUCAGCCCAAAGCCUAAUCGCGCGUUCUAUGAGCGUCGUGACAUGUGGCGUAUGGAAGGCUUCACCUCCGGAACUGGACCGUGGUUUAAGUCCCCGUGAAUGGGGCACGACCCACAGCGGGUGCAAGGCCCGUAUUUCCACGCGUCCUAUUCCGGAGAGAGGCUUCUUCCGGGAGUCGGGUUGCUUGAAAGUGCAGCCCAAAGUGGGUGGUAAACUCCACCUAAGGCUAAAUAUUACCGAGAGACCGAUAGCAAACAAGUACCUUGAGGGAAAGUUGAAAAGAACUUUGAAGAGAGAGUUCAAUAGUACGUGAAACCGCUUAGAGGUAAACGGGUGGGACCUCGAAAACUGAAGGCGGAUGGAUUCAGUUCUGGCACUGACUUGAGCCCGGCGCCUGUCCUGGGCACACCCUCACGAGGGGGGUGGCCUGGACGUGUGUCGCCGGAUGCCAGAGCGCACUUCCAUUCCGUCGGUAAGACGUCGCGACCGGUUGAUAGCUCGUCGGAAGGAUUACGGAUGCAGGUGGCCUAUCGCCCUCGGGCGGUAGGUGUUACAGCGCCGUUUUAUAGCCGACGAGUCUUCGACCGUGGAUGAGAGUUAUCCUCGUGAAGCGUUCCUUCGACCCUAGGGUCGAGCGGAGGAGGGCGCAGGCGUCCGAACCUGUCGAAGUCACCCUCGCGGUGGCCCGGCAACUAGGGCGUCGCGCGUUCUUCUAUCCGUCUUGGAACCAGAGGUCAGCGACGAGUAGGUCGGUAUCCCACCCGACCCGUCUUGAAACACGGACCAAGGAGUCUAAAGCGUAUGCGAGCUCCCGGGAGUUGAAUAUCCCCGAGAGCGCAAUGAAAGUGAAGGCGCGCCCUCGUGGCGCGCCUAGUUGGGAUCCGCGAUAGCGGCGCACCAACUGCCCGUCCCGUCAGCAUGUCUGUGGGGCGGAGCCAGAGUAUACGCUCUGGGACCCGAAAGAUGGUGAACUAUGCCUUGGCAGGACGAAGCCAGAGGAAACUCUGGUGGAGGUCCGUAGCGAUUCUGACGUGCAAAUCGAUCGUCAGACCUGGGUAUA
rnacentral:rRNA from 1 species